UACAGAGGUCCCAAGCGUUGUUCGGAUUCACUGGGCGUAAAGGGUGCGUAGGUGGUCGGGUAAGUCUGAUGUGAAAUCUUCGAGCUCAACUCGAAAAUGGCAUUGGAUACUAUUCGGCUGGAGGGUUGGAAGGGGGACUGGAAUUCUCGGUGUAGCAGUGAAAUGCGCAGAUAUCAGGAGGAACACCGGUGGCGAAGGCGGGUCUCUGGGCCGAUACUGACGCUGAGGAGCGAAAGCGUGGGGAGCGAACAGG
rnacentral:rRNA from 1 species